rnacentral:rRNA from 1 species
ACGUGCUACAAUGGACAUACAAGGGCAGCUAAACCGCGAGGUCAAGCAAAUCCCAUAAAGUUGUUCUCAGUUCGGAUUGUAGUCUGCAACUCGACUACAUGAAGCUGGAAUCGCUAGUAAUCGUAGAUCAGCAUGCUACGGUGAAUACGUUCCCGGGUCUUGUACACACCGCCCGUCACACCACGAGAGUUUGUAACACCCGAAGCCGGUGGAGUAACCAUUUAUGGAGCUAGCCGUCGAAGGUGGGACAAAUGAUUGGGGUGAAGUCGUAACAAGGUAGCCGUAUCGGAAGGUGCGGCUGGAUCACCUCCU